rnacentral:rRNA from 1 species
UACGUAGGGUGCAAGCGUUAAUCGGAAUACUGGGCGUAAAGCGUGCGCAGGCGGUGAUGUAAGACAGAUGUGAAAUCCCCGGGCUCAACCUGGGGACUGCAUUUGUGACUGCAUCGCUGGAGUACGGCAGAGGGGGAUGGAAUUCCGCGUGUAGCAGUGAAAUGCGUAGAUAUGCGGAGGAACACCGAUGGCGAAGGCAAUCCCCUGGGCCUGUACUGACGCUCAUGCACGAAAGCGUGGGGAGCAAACAGG